AAGCCACACACAUGACUGUGUUGCUUUGAAACCUUCCUCUGUUUGUUGCCAGAGAAGACAGCAUUUUUCAAACAGGGCCAACAUGAUUGCUAUGGCAACCAAAUUCAUUUUACAUUCGGUCACAACCGAAUAAACAAAUGUUGGAAGGAAAGGAGAAAAGACGAAAGGGCAAGAGAAGGAGCCUCACACAUGCCUGUGUUGCCUCGAAGCCUUCCUCUGUUUACUGCCAGCAAAGACAGCAUUUUUUAAACAUGGCCAACAUGAUUGCUAUGGCAACAAAAUUAAUUUUACAUCUGGUCAUGUGAUUAAUCAAAUAAUUAUCUAAUCAUGACAUUUAGCAUUUAUUUCGGAGGCAACCGUACCCCUGCCCCACCCCAUAUAUCAC
ensembl:lncRNA